UUUUUGUGUGGGCCCUAUGGCUAUGCUAUCAAGUGUUGUUCAUGUUUGGCAAGAUCUACCGGUACGUAGGUAGACUAUAUAUAGUUUCAUCAUUAAUAUGGUGGAUCAAGUAAAGAGUGUGAGCUAGAGAACUUGGUGCUGCCAUCAUCAGCUCGUCGACAAUGACACUAUAACCGAGAAAUUUAAUAUGUAUAGAUCUACACAUAAUUAUUUAAAAUGUCUACUUCUCUGUACAGGAUCUAGGAGCAAUGGCUAAUAUCCAGCUAUCCCAACAGUGCUCCUCUUGGCUAUACUAACGGACGAGACUGGACAGUUUGAGGACUGGAGUAUGACCUGCUCAUUCGAGCGUUGCUGGGUAGCUCAGAGACAUCAAGAGAAUCUACGUUUUCUCAAGCAAAAUUUAACUGAGUUACGAGUUGGGGCCUAGAAUCACAGAAGUCCAGCAGCCUGCUAAAUCUUUUUGAAAUGUAAUUUGAAGGCAUUCAAUCAUCCUGAAGUUGCCCUGGGUCACUGUAAUUCAACUCCCCAGGCCUUUGUGAAGCAGCUCCCUAUGUGCAUCUUUUGUGUACUCACUCUGUGCAUUUUGUGUGUACAAAUUUCGAUUAUUGAUUUAUUAAAUAUUUUUGCCGACCACAAAUAUACAAUGAAAAUUUGACGCAUGCGCAGACAACUAGUACCAGGCCCAGUUGUUUGCCUAGCCGUUAUAAAAGCGAAAACUCGGCCUGGGAUCGAGGCUAAUCAGAGAGGCUAUUGUUGUUGGAGUUCUGCUGAUCUUGCAUACCAGCCACGCCCCCACUAUUGCAAAGGUUAUGAGGAGCCCACUCCCAAAAUGGCUGGAGGAGGUGUAGAGAUCUGAAGGUUGUCUAGCGCUGCAGGAGUAUACUAGGAAUAUUGCACAUACAGCUUAUACCCAUAGGCCUGUCAAUGGGCAAUAUUAUAGGUCUAGGUCUAGUCUAGUUGCAGAGCAUGUCGUACAAUGUGUAAAGAUUGCUCAUGACAGUGUGUGUAUUUAUCAUUGUGUAGAGGAGAUGUGUUUGUUGAGUGGGAGCAUCCUCCGUCACCAUCACUCUCCAGUAUCCAUGGAGAUGACACUAUCCUCUUUGAGCUCCUGAGAACUAAACAACAUUCAACAGUUGACGACAAUCGACGAUGCAAAUACGUUAGAAUCCAGCCAUGCAUGACAUGUGCACAGACUGUGGGGGGUCUGGUAUCAAGGUGACCCAUCGCCCACUCGGCCCCGGCAUGAUGCAGCAGAUACAGAGCGUGUGCACAGACUGUGGGGGGUCUUGUGAGAUUACAUAAGAGACAAGAACAAGUGCAAGAAAUGCAAAGGAAAGUGUCUCGUGGAAAUCAACCACAAACAAGAGAACACUGCUGGUGACGACCAUAGUGACAAGGAGAGUCGACUGUGACCUGUUUGUGGAGAAGAGCAUCAGUUUAAAGGAUACCUUGUGUGGCUUCACUUGCACUUUGUACCCCCUGGACGAGAGGAGCGUGGGUGGGUCCAAGUCACCAGGAGCAGUGCUGUCACCAGGUGAGUAGGUGGCCGGUAGGAGGAGGAUUGUGUAUAGGGCUGCCUUUGAGAGGAGUGUACAUACAAGCUAUUAUAGUGUGUCCCAGCCUUACAAGCUGAGGGGACAUGUGUUAGGGUUAGGUACCUUAGGACUGUUCAUCUGGCAGCUUUAACAACUCUUAAUAUUCCACUGUUAUUACUAUAUACCAUAUAUAGCCCAAAGUGUUAAUUUUUGGGUUAGCAAUUUUCGCUGUUUUUUGUGUGUUAGCAAUCCUACACGAAAAUUAGGUCCACGAAAUACUUAGCUAACGGAAGACAUAACGUCAUUUACCAAAUAUAGCAUUUAUCCAACGAAGAGCCAUUCCACGCAAUUUUAAGUACCUCGAACAUUUCGCCCUACAUUGAAUAUGAUACAUACAUGUAGUCUUGUGAUACUAACAGUGGUAGUGCUGUGUGGGCAGUAUUGUAUAUACCUAAGAAUACUAUUGGGUAAAAAUAAGUACCCACCACUAAUCAAGUGGUACAAUGUGUGUGUGUGUGUGUGUGUGUGUGUGUGUGUGUGUGUGUGUGUGUGUGUGUGUGUGUGUGUGUGUGUGUGUGUGUGUGUGUGUGUGUGUGUGUGGGUGGGUGGGUGGGUGGGUGUGUGUGUGUGUGUGUGUGGGUGUGUGUGUGUGUGUGUGUGUGUGUGUGCGUGCGUGUGUGUCCAGGGUCUGGAGGGUGAGGGGAUGCCAGUGUUCAGGAGGCCUCAUGUCAAGGGCAACCUCUAUGUUCAGUUCACCAUCCAAUUCCCUGACUCUGGUUUCCUGGAGGAGAGUCAACUAAAGGAGUUGGAGUGUCUCCUGCCCACAGGACGUGGCCCCACCAGUACUGGACCCAGAGGCAGAGGAAGUGGAUAUGAUAGAGAGUGAGGGGACGAGGGGAGUGAGCGAGACACAAGGGGGUGGAGCCAUAUAGAAUGAAGAUGUGGAGGAUGAAGGAGUGGGCGGGGCACAGAGGGUGGGCUGCUCUCAACAGUGACACUCUUAGGAACUCUAUAUUCACCGCUUUGAUUGUAUUUAUGGACUGGUUUUGUGGUUACUGCUAUUGUUCUAAUUAUGUGAAUAACAUUUCCCCAUACCACUCAUCA